UACAGAGGUCCCAAGCGUUGUUCGGAUUCUCUGGGCGUAAAGGGUGCGUAGGUGGCUUGGAAAGUUUGAUGUGAAAGCUCAGGGCUCAACCCUGAAAUGGCAUUGAAUACUAUCGAGCUGGAGGUUUGGAGGGGGGACUGGAAUUCUUGGUGUAGCAGUGAAAUGCGUAGAUAUCAAGAGGAACACCAGUGGCGAAGGCGAGUCCCUGGACAACACCUGACACUGAGGCACGAAAGCCGGGGGAGCAAACAGG
rnacentral:rRNA from 1 species